AUGAGAUACCCAGCAGUCUGUUUCCUACAAACAUCAUUAUAUGUCGUAAUUCACUGAAAAAGAUACUCAUUUUUAUGGAAAGGUCACAGUUAUUAAUUAUAUGAAUAGCAACAGCAGCUCUCAGUGAGAUCGCUUCCCAGCUGCGUGCUGCAUGGACGUAUGCACAGACAGGUGGGCAGCUCUGCCUGUGAGGAGCACAGCCUGAGAGAUAACAGAAAAGCAGGAGGGAAGAGGAUUCCGGAGCACAGAGGGCAGAGCCAGGAGAACCGCAGCCACAAAAUAUUUUGUUGCAGUGCAGGGAAGUCUUCAGCAUCCCUCCCAGCAAGCUGGUACCACUGUCCAGGAAAGAUGUCAUGGUCCAUAACCAUAGGAUGCUUGGGUUCCAAGACCCAACUCCUCCUCCAAAGACUGUGUGUGUGCUUCCAAAAACUAUAGAAUCUGCUCCAGGUAAGAUAGUAAAACAUAGAGGGAGAAAUGCAGCCCCCAGGUGAGCUACCCACCUCUGCACACAGCCAAGCACUUGUUUACAAAGCAGAAGAGUGCAGGCAAGGAAUGAAGGACCCUGGAGAAGAAACACUUUCGGGCCCUGGAAGCUGGCGAGCUCCUAUCUUCAGACUGGUGAGGCUGCAGCUGGGUUACAGUGGGUCGCUGGGGGGAGGCUGUGCUCAUAGCAGUGGUGAAUAGGGUGGGAACCCCCUGGGAAUGAGGACAAAAGGAGUUUCCAGCUGAAGAACUCAGAGAAGGAAGAACGUGAUGGCGUUUUAGGGUGCAGUGGGCCAGGGCUGCUGGCAUGGAGACUGGGGCUGCCUCCAGCAGCGGGGAGCAGCACAAAUCAGAACUCACUGCCUUUCUCGAACCGUGCCCUUCUUUGAAGAUAUUUGUGCAGUUAGGAAUUUGCCGUGUUUACUCCCAGGUCAGACAAAACACGGGGGAUUCAAAACCAGCAUCGAGUGUGAGGAUGGCAAACACCGGUGAAGACCAGCAGUCACCAUACGGGAUUCUCCAAAUGCGUCUGUUUUGCUGCUUCUGUGACAUUUGAUUAAAGUCUCGCUAUCCUGCCUAUUAAUUAAGGUGUUUGAAGGCGAGGCCGAAAUUUCAGCUCCCCUCCCAAGUUCACCGGCUCCAUACUCCUCCUCCUCCAAAUAUGUUUUUGCUAUAAAUUACUGGCACUGUUUCUGUUGAUAGUCAACAUAAUCAAACAUUUGUAAGCAUGCUGUCUCUUCAAUCUGUUCAGUUGAUGCACUUUACCUGAUCUUUCAUUAAAGUAAUCAAAACACUUGCUGUGCCGCAUCUAAUGAAUGUUGCAUGUAUGAUUAAGUACUUUCAUUCAUAUUGCAAGUUUGAUUUAAUGUAAUCUGCCUUUCAGACAGCCAUUAGCCUAGCUCCUGUGUGAAUUCGAUUAAUUGGCUGAAUUCUUCCAGAUGUCCAUUAAGUAUUACAGGAAUUUCUAUGUAAAAACAGCAGGGACUGUCUAGCAGAGAACCAAACAAUGAUAUGUUAUAUUGCUGCCAUGACUUACAAAAAGCUAGAUUCAUUUUCAUUAAUAAAACAUCUGUACUCCUG
rnacentral:lncRNA from 1 species